ACACUGAGAUUGGUGGAGUGCUCCAUGUUCACUGCAGUUACUGGCCUUGUUUACUUCUUGAGCAAUUCUCUCUCCAUCGAGAAUUACUUUGGAUGUUUUUUCUCAUUGCCGAUAGUAAUCUCUUCAAUGAGAUGGGGUGUUGCAGCUGGGAGGAAAACUAUGGUGGCGACGGCCAUGCUAUUGCUUGUCUUGUCUGGUC